rnacentral:rRNA from 1 species
UGGGGAAUUUUGCACAAUGGGGGAAACCCUGAUGCAGCGACGCCGCGUGAUUUAGAAGGCCUUCGGGUUGUAAAAAUCUUUUCUAUGGGAAGAAAAUGACAGUACCAUAGGAAUAAGGACCGGCUAAUUACGUGCCAGCAGCCGCGGUAAUACGUAAGGUCCGAGCGUUGUCCGGAAUCAUUGGGCGUAAAGGGUACGUAGGCGGGUAAGCAAGUUAGAAGUGAAAUCCUAUAGCUCAACUAUAGUAAGCUUUUAAAACUGCUCAUCUUGAGGUAUGGAAGGGAAAGUGGAAUUCCUAGUGUAGCGGAGAAAUACGCAGAUAUUAGGAGGAAUACCGGUGGCGAAGGCGACUUUCUGGCCAUAACCUGACACUGAGGUACGAAAGCGUGGGUAGCAAACAGG